GUGUUGCAUAAAAGUAGCAUUCCCCUUGAUAAGGCCUAGUGGCCUUACAACACACAAAUGGUAGUGGCAUCUAACCAUGUAAAACUGCACAAUACUAAGGUUCCAAGCACAGAAUUGGGCCAGAUUUGUCU